CGAUCGCACUCCGGUUGAUCCUGCCGGAGGCUACUGCUAUUGGGAUUCGACUAAGCCAUGCGAGUCAAGGUGUCUUCGGACGCCGGCAUACGGCUCAGUAACACGUAGGUAACCUACCCUUAGGACUGGCAUAACCCCGGGAAACUGGGGCUAAUACCAGAUAGAUAAAAGAUACUGGAAUGUUCUUUUAUCCAAAGCUUUUGUGCCUAAGGAUGGGCCUGCGCCCGAUUAGGUUGUUGGUGGGGUAAUGGCCCACCAAGCCUGCGAUCGGUACGGGCAGUGGGAGCUGUAGCCCGGAGUUGGGGACUGAGACAAGGCCCCAGGCCCUACGGGGCGCAGCAGGCGCGAAACCUCUGCAAUGCGGGAAACCGUGACAGGGGGAUCCCAAGUGCUCAUGCAUUGCAUGGGCUGUUCUUUGGUCUAAGUAACCAGAGGAGUAAGGGCUGGGCAAGACCGGUGCCAGCCGCCGCGGUAAUACCGGCAGCUCGAGUGGUAGCCGCGAUUAUUGGGCCUAAAGCGUUCGUAGCCGGAUAAGUAAGUCUUUGGUUAAAUCCUGCGACUUAACCGUGGGAAAUCUAGAGAUACUGCUUGUCUUGAGACCGGGAGAGGUUGGAGGUACUCCUAGGGUAGGGGUGAAAUCCUGUAAUCCUAGGGGGACCACCUGUGGCGAA
rnacentral:rRNA from 1 species